GACGAACGCUGGCGGCGUGCUUAACACAUGCAAGUCGAACGGAAAGGCCCUGCUUUUGUGGGGUGCUCGAGUGGCGAACGGGUGAGUAACACGUGAGUAACCUGCCCUUGACUUUGGGAUAACUUCAGGAAACUGGGGCUAAUACCGGAUAGGUGCUCCUGCUGCAUGGUGGGGGUUGGAAAGUUUCGGCGGUUGGGGAUGGACUCGCGGCUUAUCAGCUUGUUGGUGGGGUAGUGGCUUACCACGGCUUUGACGGGUAGCCGGCCUGAGAGGGUGACCGGCCACAUUGGGACUGAGAGACGGCCCAGACUCCUACGGGAGGCAGCAGUGGGGAAUAUUGCACAAUGGGCGGAAGCCUGAUGCAGCAACGCCGCGUGCGGGAUGACGGCCUUCGGGUUGUAAACCGCUUUCGCCUGUGACGAAGCGUGAGUGACGGUAAUGGGUAAAGAAGCACCGGCUAACUACGUG
rnacentral:rRNA from 1 species